rnacentral:rRNA from 1 species
UACAGAGGUCUCAAGCGUUUGUUCGGAUUCAUUGGGCGUAAAGGGUGCGUAGGCGGCGCGGUAAGUCGGGUGUGAAAUCUCGGAGCUUAACUCCGAAACUGCAUUCGAUACUGCCGUGCUUGAGGACUGGAGAGGAGACUGGAAUUUACGGUGUAGCGGUGAAAUGCGUAGAUAUCGUAAGGAAGACCAGUGGCGAAGGCGGGUCUCUGGACAGUUCCUGACGCUGAGGCACGAAGGUCAGGGGAGCAAACGGG